UAUUGACAAAUCACUUUUCCUUUUCCCCAAUAAGUCUUAUUUUCUUAAAAAAAAACAAACUAACUAUUUUUAAGUCCAUGGGGGCUUGACACAAAUUUUCUCUUUUGCCCAGACUCUUCUACCCAUUCUUCAAAGUUCUUUCCAUUCUUCAAGGUCUAGUUGAGCUGCUAGAUCUUUCAACAAAUAGAUCUCUAAUUUUCUUGCUUGAAAUGAAUAUGCCCAUCCAGUCAGGACCAGAUGCAUAGGUGUGGGACAAACACAGUCACACAGGGCCCCAAGCUCAGAAGUGGUCAGUGCUUGGCUUAAUGCUCUGCUCUUGCUGUUUGAAAUUUGAACAAGGGCCUCUGCAUUCUCAUUUUGCACUGGACUCGAAAAUUAUACAGCCGGGUCUUCUUCCUGUACUCCUAAAGUUAACAAUUUUAUAUUUCUGCUCUAACGGUUAUCAUCUACACUGUUGUUUUGAAGCUAUUUUUGUGCAUAUUUACCCCCACUAGAGAGGGAGCUCUGGAAAGUCACAGAUCUCUUUUGUUGUGUACCUGGAAGAGUGGUUUUCACAGAGUAAGACUGAUGAGGCAAGAAAGCUGCUCAGAGCUCUUCAGGAAGGAACUGAGCGAAACCGACAUCUACAGAGAAUAAACGUAAAAAAAGCUAAAAAGUUCUGCAAACUUAAUAUGCAGUAAUCACAUGUGCUUUGUACUGCAUAAGGAAACCCAAUCUAAUCCUCAAAACAUGAGGAAUAGAUACUAUUAUGAUGUCAUUUUCCAGAUGAGGAAACUAGGGCUUAAAGAGGGAAGGUGGCAGAGGUCACAUAAGCAGUGCCGGAAUCAGGAGUCAGAGUCAGGUCUGGCUCAUGUAAAAUCGGAGUCCAUGUACUUAACUCCUAGAGGAUUGUGAAAUUUUCAGGCAAUACUAAUAAAAAAAAAUCUAAGUAAUCCUUUCCAGAACUAAGGCCAAAGCAAUAAAACUGGCCUCUCUAGCAGUCCCAACCCUGAGUUUAUAAAAUUUGCCUACAACACAGCCAGACUUAAGUUGUCAAACCAGUUUCUAGUAAGAAAACAAAAUGUUUACACAAACAUUUUCCUAACUGCCUGUAGCCCCCCAAACCAUUCCUUCAAGAAACGUACUAUCAAGUUACCUUUUAGUAAUAAAAUUCUAUAGGUAGAGAGAAAAAGUGUUUUAGAACAUGAAAGACAGAAAAUCUAAGGAGAAAGGAAUAUUACAAAAUGAGCUGAUCAGGAAGUCAAACCCAUGUCAGCUCUCCAUGCCGAGGAAGACCAUGGUUUUCCAUCCCCUUCCAGGCAUUCAUAGGCACAGCAAACUCAGGGAGACUGACUAAGGGUUAGUGUAAAAUGACAUUUUACCGAGUUGAGUCCAUUAGCAGUUUUUACUCAUUGACUGUUAAAUUAUAUGUUUCAUGUCAUGAACAAAGCAGGCCUUCUGUUUUGUUGCUUAAUCCAAAUUUACACCAUGGGUGAGAUGCAUGCAAUGCCUUGAAUGUAUUACUUUAAGAAUUUGCAUUAAACACAACAGGAUACUUCCAAAUACAAUAUACAUAUGCCAUAGCCUUGGAUGUGUAUUAAUUUCUUUAGCACAAGAGAGACUUUUCAGGAAAAACCUAAUUGAGUUUGUCUUUCCCAUUUUUAAGGUAGUAAAAUGUUCAAACACUUGAGUCUUUUUACAACUGUUAUCCAACUCAGUCAUUUUCAGUAAAACAUACAGCUCUUGCUACUUCAUUCUGAAGGCACAAUUAUUACCAUGUCCUUUAGCUUCCUGGGGCUUCGAGUUGUUUUCAAUGUUGUUUUUUUAAUUUCUUAAAUAAAUUCAUUUUCCUCCUCCUACCCCGCAAAAGGUGUGAUAUAAACAAUAAGAGGUUUGGUUUUCUACGUGAACAAAAGAGUAAGUAUACUGAUACAGCAUGGGUCCACUUUUGUAAUGUUGCUUUAAGCUAUCAAGAUGCAUACUUAUUCUCAACCCAUGAAAUCAAAGUUCCCUUUACACAGUAAUUCCUAAGUAGCUCUAAGGUCAGGCUACCCUCGUGUGUCAUGGUCUCAUUUGGUCCUUGUUGGAUAUCUUUAUAAUCCUAAUUUUAGAAAUGUAAAGCCAUGUAUGUAAUGAUCGAUAAUUGGUCAAGACGUGAUUCUUUUUUUUAAUCUUUUUUUCUUCCUUUUUUUAGGCCGCGCUGCCUGGCGAGCGGGAUCUUAGUUCCCUGACCAGGAAUCGAACCUGUGCCCCCUGCAGUGGAAGUGCAGAGUCUUAACCAUUGGACCACCAGGGAAGUCCCAAGAUGUGAUUCUUAUAUCACACAAAUGUUGAUUUUGUUUGCAAUGGAGAAUUUACAAGGAGCAUCAAAUCUCUUUCUUGCCCAAGUCUUGAGUUAGGAGGUUUAUAGUUUUUCUAGCUGGCUAAUCAUUUGGAAAUGAAGACUUUUUUUAUUACAAAAAUGAAAUUUAUUGGACUUCAACCUGAAAUAGUAAACAGGUCACAAGGCACCAGUAAAAGCUCCCAUGUAGGGCAACUAUAAUUGUCAUAUAUAUUUUUAUUAAUGCCAAACCAGUUGUAAUCCAAUCUACACCCACAUUUUAAGAUGACAGUAAGAAGUUCAGAGAUGUGUUUCCCAAUCAAACACUGGGUAACUCAUCUGUCACCUUGCCAGUGCAUUAUCUGAAAGAAAUCUGUUGUAGCAAAUGAGGAUAAAACCUGAGAUUCUUUAGACUCAGAAAUGGAAAACAAAUUGAAAAACUGUACAUAUGUUGUAAAAACCAUUCCGAGAAAGAGAGAAGAGAACUCACGUUUUAUUCAACAACCACCUAGUAUUCUUCUAGGUGCUGCAGAUGAUAAAUAAUUUGACCUUCACAGAACUAAUAUGCAGGAAUUCUUUGUUCUCUUAGCAGAUAGAGAAACUGAGGCUCAAAUUAAGUUACCUCCCCAAAACAGCACAGUAAGUCUGGUUUAUCUAAUUACAAAACUUCUUUUUGCCACACAAUGGCAAGAAUCAUUUUGAUCUUAAAAUUGCUUAAAGUUUUUUAGUAUGUUGAUCUUUACCUUCAUAAGUAAAUGAGAAAUGUGAUGUUCUAUACAUGGCAGAUAAUAAAGGGUUUUAAUUUGCCUAUGAAUUCCUUAGUGGCAAAAUUUAUAAUAGUCUGGACACAAUGAGGGGUAACUCUUUUUUAGCUCUCCCUGCAAAAAUUCAGACAACUAUUUCUCUUCCAUUUCUAAUUCUUCAUCUAUAGGUGAUAUUUAAAUUGAAGACAUCAGCAGAUCAUACUGGGAAUCUGUUGGUGCCACAAGGCAAAAUCGAUUGACUGUAUUAGAAGAAAGGUUAAUAGUCACCUUCACUAACCCCAGCUUUUGUACCAGGUUUAUUAUCACCCUCGAAAUAGAACCUGCACGAUCAAUUUCAAAUAUCAGAGCAUAACACACGCUCUACAGGGAACCGAUAAAAGAAAGCAGAAGAGGCAAUAGUUCUACAGUUAGAAAAAACCCGCAAUUUUCAUCGUGCAUGGAAAACAUCAAAUUAAACCUGGUACUUGGUAUUGACUCAGCAUACCAGCUUCUCCCAACAUUCCGGCUGAAGUUUAAUCUGCUGCUAACUCCCUGGAGUGAGGCCUCUACCCCUGUGACACCCUUGCUGGCAAUACAGAAUUGAGCAGGUGCUGGCUUCGGGGGAAGCUUAUGAUUAGUUUCUUCAAAUGUGCAAAAUAAUGCUUAUGGGCGAGCACUCAUAAACAGCUUAUGAUUUGAAAAGAAUCAAGAGGAAUGAGGUUUACAAAAUUUCUUCUUCACCCGCUAAUUGUUCUCAGGUUUGAUGAAAAGUUCAUUUUAGAAGGAUUUUUUUUCUCUCUUCUCAGCUUGGUCUUCAGUCAUCUGUCAAAGACUUGUUCUCAUCUGCUUGCUUAUCCCUUUUAUUUCUGCACAGCUCUGUAUUACUCAGACCACAGCAGUCUGCUUUCAUGACACCCAAGCUGAGGCCGUGAUAGAUUUUUCUCUGUGUGUAGAAAGGUUGGAAGCAUAGAAGGUAAUGUCGAAAGGGUCAAAGUUACCAGAGCGGGUUGGAGAAGAUAACCAACUUACUUACCACUGACAGACACCAGGUGUAACCUGGAAAUCCGGGAGAUAAUAUCAUUGCACAGGUGCCAGGAAAUAGCACAUUCUAAUACCACAGUGGCAGACCAGCCAUUUGGGGUCAUAUUUCACCAAGUGGUUAGUGCCAAAAAUGUAUAAUUCAGGUGGAUAAGCUUGUCACAGGUUUAUAGUAUUUGAGGACAGCAGACUUGUUGAAUGAAUGAAUAGAUGAGAAAGAGAUACGAAUUCCAUAGACAAAGGCAGACGUCUACAGAAAGCACUGAGCGAUAAUCUACCACGAUUAAAAAAAAAACAAAAAAAGCUCAGUGAAGCCUGAGCAACCAAGUAGAACCGACAUUUCCUAGUUACCGUGUGCUUGGCACCAUGCCAGGUGCUUUACAUGUGCGACUUAUUUAAAUGCCACCACCAUCUUGUCAGGUAUCUUCUGGUGGCCAGACUUGAAGAUGAUGAUCCCCCAUGAUCCUCUCCCCCUGGUAUUUGUGCCUUUGUGUACUCUCCUCUUACAGUGAACAGGGCUGACCCAUGUAACUAAGUAGAAUAUUGUAGAAAGGAUGGUGUGUGAUUUCUGAGGCUGGAUCACACAAGCCAUGUGGAUUCUGCCUUGCUUACUCUUGGGUCACUCUCGGAGGGAAGCCAUCUCUCCAUGUCAUUAGGCCCCUUAGGUAUUGCUAUGAAAAGGACCACAAAUUGAGGAACUGAGACUUCCUAUCAACAACCUGCAUUAACUUGCCAGUGAGCCACCCAAGAAAUAACCCUUCAGCCCCAGGUAAGCCUCUGAUGACUACAGUGCUGGCCAAUUUCCUGACUGCAACUUCAUGAGAGACCUUGACUAGUAGACCCUGGUUCUAGGAACCCACCUAAGCCUCUCCCAGAUUCCUGGCCCAUAAAAAUUAUGUGGAAUAAUACACUUUUGUUGUUAUUGUUUUAAGCCACUAAAUUUGGGGUUCAUUUAUUACACAGCAGUAGAUAAGUAAUAAAACCUUUAUCACCCUCAUUGUACAGGUGAAGAAACAAAGGCUAUGAGAGCUAAAGGUGAAAAAUACUAGUACUCCCUUUCCUUUGUUCAGCAUCUGCCAAUGAAGACUUAGACCACAGAAACUGGAUAAAGUGUGACACAGGAGCCAAGGAGGAGAGCAGCCGGGAGUGGACCAAAAGGCAAAGUUCGCCUAUUUAUUCACUCAUUCCACAAAUAAAUUCUUGAGAACCUACUGUGUGCCAGGCACUGUUCUGAGCCAUGAAGAUGCAGCUGUGACCAGCAUGGAUAAAAUUUCCUGCCUUCUUGGAGCUUACAUUCUAGUGAUGGGUUGAGAUGAUCCCAUUCUAGUGUUUUUAUUUCGUUUUUAAUGCUUAGUCAAGAACACAGCACUAAUUCUAUUAUCAAAUCAACACCAUGGCUGAUCCAUAUGUGUAGACCAGGAUUUCCUUGGAAGCACAGGGAAUAUAGCUGAAGAUGACAAAGAAAUCAGAAAAGAUUGAAAAGAAAGUGGAAACAGAAUUUUAAAAGGU